GCCUUCAUGGUGUAGUGGUCAGCCCGCUCGACGCGUAUUCGAGAGGUCCGUGGUUCGAGUCCCGGCGAGGGCA
rnacentral:tRNA from 1 species